rnacentral:misc_RNA from 1 species
AACGCACAUUGCGCCCCCUGGUAUUCCGGGGGGCAUGCCUGUUCGAGCGUCAUUACAACCCUCAAGCUCUGCUUGGUAUUGGGCCCCGCCAGUUCUGGCGGGCCCUAAAGUCAGUGGCGGUGCCUUCCGGCUCCGAGCGUAGUAAUUCUUCUCGCUCUGGAGACCCGGUUGUGUGCUUGCCAACAACCCCCAAUUUUUUAAGGUUGACCUCGGAUCAGGUAGGGAUACCCGCUGAACUUAA